rnacentral:rRNA from 1 species
ACGAGAAUAUUCCGCAAUGGACGAAAGUCUGACGGAGCGACGCCGCGUGAUGGAUGAAGUGCCUUGGUACGUAAACAUCUUUUAUCGGGGACGAAGUUUAUUGACGGUACCCGAUGAAUAAGGAGCUCCUAACUCUGUGCCAGCAGGAGCGGUAAUACAGAGGCUCCAAGCAUUACCCGGAAUCACUGGGCGUAAAGGGUGUCUAGGCGGCCAUAUUAGUCUCUCGUUAAAUGUCCGAGCUCAACUUGGUCACUGCGAGGGAAACGGUAUGGCUCGAGGGCGUGAGAGGUGCAUGGAACUCAUGGUGGAGGGGUGAAAUCCGUUGAUAUCAUGGGGAACACCAAAGGCGAAGGCAAUGCACUGGUACGUUCCUGACGCUCAAACACGAAAGCCAGGGUAGCGAAUGGGAUUAGAUACCCAGGUAGUCCCUGAGCGGGCUGGCAAGGCGCAU